rnacentral:lncRNA from 1 species
CCACCUCCGGGGAAGCCGCUCAGCUCGGUCGACUGUUGACUCUAGGAUUAGCAGCUCCACAGGAGUUCUUUUCCUCUGAAAUGAAAAGAAAGCGGACAGACUGACAGGACAUGAUGUUCUUAUCUACCCAACAACUGAUACAUGCUCUUGGGGCUGAGAAGAUGGCUUCUCAGAGAGCUUGCUGCUAUUGCAUGAGGACCUAGCUCAGAUCCCUAGAAGCCAUAUAAAAGCCAGCAUGUGUCUGUAUCUCCAAUCCCAAGAGGAGAGAUCAAGAGAGAUUUCUGGCCAGAGGAAGACACCGCUGGCAUCUAUAUGUGCACUCACAGGCUCGAGAUCUGGAUCCAUAGUUGUGCCCUCCAUUUCUGGAUUUUAGUUCAUUCCAGAUUAAAAGUCCAAAUGAAAACAAUAACCAGGUAAUAGUAACACCUAUGUAUAACCCUACCCAAGGACAUUUGACUGGGGUGGAGAUGAGAGCAGAGCGAGUGGGAUCUCUGUAAGAGAAACUGUGUCCCUGCAAUCCACACUAAAGUCAGAGCAGUGGAACUCAUGCUUCCCCAGCCCUCAUCCCACAACCAGUCCUGAUCCCAUCUGGCCACAGAACUCUUCAAAUGUCCCCAAGAAAGCCCAGAGAAGCCACAGUCUGAACUUUGUGUGUUCACUCUGCUAUCUUAUCUGUGUCACUUAGCACCUUCUAGAAAAUAAGGGUCUGUUGGGGCUUGGGGUUUGUGUACAACGAUGAGUUGUCAUGAAUGUUGUUUAUAGGAACAUGGGCAGCUUGCCAGUGAAGAAAACGUCCCUUCUUCUCACAACAACCAUUAACUUCUGAGAGAUCUUCAGGGAUGGGGGGCUUUGCGGGGUGGAAAGCUGAUGGACCCAGCCUUCUGCAGGUCUUCUGCAGAUAAUCAUAGAUGCUGGGGAUCCAAGAUUACGACAGUGAUAUCAUGUCCUGAUGUUGAACUCCAUGGCACUCUACCGCUCCCUUAGGCCCUUACAUUCCUCCCAUUUCUUCACUAGUAUACCCCGAGCCUGGAAGAGGUCACUAUAAAUGUCCCCUUUAGGGUUGAGCAUUCAUCAGUUAUAAGCCUGCAGCAACCACGGCCUGCUUUAUAAAGCAUCUUCUCAGACCAAGGGGACACUCCCACAGAAACGAUGGUUCCAGCCAGAGGUGCUGAGAACCCACCCGGAACCUGCUUCUCAACAGCCGGCUUCAACAUAAGCCACACUCCCCAUUAAGCCCUGCUUUGAGAGAGGAAGCAUCAUAACUGAACACAACUCACAUGGCCUGUCAUAGUAUGUCUGCCAUGGACCAUGACACGGAAUUCAACUAGUGUGGACACUGAGGGACUCCUUGAGGAAGCAUCAUCUCUACAGUGACCUAGAGGAUGAACAGGUGUGACAUAAAGUGACAUGAAUUAGAUCUAAAGCCAAAUGACACUGAUGUUUGUGUGUGAAAAUCCCAUAAUGAACCCCAUUACUAUGUAUGGUAGCCU